rnacentral:tRNA from 3 species
GCCCCUGUGGCGGAAUUGGUAGACGCGGCGGAUUCAAAAUCCGUUUCCUGUGAAGGAGUGCCCGUUCGAGUCGGGCCAGGGGCACCA